AGAAACAAGAGUAUCAAACUUUUCCCUAAUUUGUGAAAAAUAUGACUGCAUGUUUUAGUACAGUCUAUUGACUAGUAAAUCUUUUAAACAAUUAUUUUAUGCUUGACACUUUAGUGGAUAUUGUGGUGGAUACAAAUAUAACUUUAACAUGCAAUGUUUAACCUCAGGAAGCUAAAAUUCACCUCAAGAGACAAAGCAUACCAAACAUUUAGAUGUUAAAUCUGCUAGCUUUCAGGAAUUCAAGGAAGGGGAAAAAGAAUGAUGAGAACAAAACUGAAGAAAGCUUUGUGAAAGGUUAGAGCUUUUCUAGUAGUUGGGAAGCACAAUUCAGGUUGAAGUCACAGCAAGUACAAAGUACCUUUAGUUAUCUGUGUUAUCGAAGACAAUUAUUCCUACAUUUAUUAUGAUUAAUUAGGCACAUGUCAGGCUUCCUAGUUCAUCACAGAUUAAUUUUAAGGACCACAGUUUUACAUUUCCAAUGUCCUACAGAACUCUGAACACAGUGCAUUACCCAUUGUCAUUGCUUGCUUGACAUUUGUUCAAUUAAAUUGCUUUUGAUCUUGUGCACGAAUUUUUAUAAAUAUUACUCCUGAUGGGCUAGUAUAUAUUUUACCAGUAUCUCUGUGUUGUAUUUUAGAAUAAAGGUGUCCUAAAGGUUAUGAGAGUACUGUUAAUACAUUCCAGACCCAGUGGCUACAAACUCUUAAUAAGCACAGAAGCUGCUUUUCCUUCCUCCAAGCGAAACAUCAUAAAAAUUACCAUAAGAAAGCCUGAAAAAUUCAACUCUGGUCAAUCAGCACUCUAUGGGAUAAAAGAAUUCACUCACUCACUCAUUUCUUUAUACAAUACUUUAGCAAAUAUGGAACACUGUGUAUUUGCUAAGCACUCUCCCAGGCACUGGAAAUAUAACAAGGAAGAUAAAGUUUAAGAAUUUCUUCAAAGUUUUCAUCAUAAUAACCUCCUACAUUUUAAACAAAUAAGAAUGUGUCUGUACAUAAAAACAAAAAAUAAAAUCAUUCUGAUGUAUAAUCUGAUUGUUUUCAAAGAACAAUAAAUGUAUAUUAUUCCAUUUUAAUGACUGUAUAUUAAUCAAUUGGUAUUGUAUAUUUAUGUAACCAUUUAAUCCCAUAUUUUAGAUAUUUUAAAUAAUCUUUACCAUACUUCUUCUAUUGUUAAAAAACAUAUAAAUGUCUUAUUUUUCCAGAUGUCAGAAUAUUGUCCUGUAAUAUAGUUAUAAAAUAUCAGAAUGGCCUUUUAAAAUACAUAUUGCUAGGCAGGCCAUGGUGGUUCAUGCCUGUAAUCUCAGCACUUUGAGAGACUGAGGCGGGAGGAUCACUUGAGCCCAGGAGUUUGAGACCAGCCUGGGCAACAUGGUGAAACCCACUCUCUACAAAAAAUACAAAACAGCCAGGCAUGGUGGCACGCUCCUGCAGUCCCAGCUACUCAAGAGGCUGAGGCGAGAGUAUCAGUUGAGCCUUAGAGGUCAAGGCUACAGUGAGCCAUGAUCUUGACACUGCACUCAGCCUGGGUGACAGAGCAAGCCCCUGUCAAAAGACAGAAAAGAAAGAAAAAAAGGAAGGAAGGAAGGAAGGGGGGAAGGGGGGAAGGGAGGGAGGGAGGUUGCAACUUUGUCUUCCAAAUCAAUGGGAUUUUACAAGGUUGCAUUCAUACCUUGUUAUUACACUCCUCUCUUUCCUAUAUCUUAACAACAUGAUUUUUAAAUUCUGCCAAGCUUAUGGUCAAAGAUUAUAGAAAAGUGUUAAUUCUAUGUGGAUAUAUUUGACUAAAUAUGAACAUUUCUCACAUUUUCAAUUGUUUGUUGUUUUUAUAUUGUGUUCAUUUUUCUAUCAGGGCAUCUAUUUAUCUUAGUUCCUGGAAAGGAAAAAUGUGAAUAGUGAUAAUAUCUGAAAAGAAUAAUCAGGAAAUAAACUCAUAUAUAUAUAAAUUAAUGAUCACUGAAAUAUAACCUGAUACAUAUAUAUGUGUGUGUGUGUGUGUGUGUAUAUAUAUACACAUAUAUAUA
rnacentral:lncRNA from 10 species